rnacentral:rRNA from 1 species
GGGGGGGGGGGGGGGGGGGCGGGGCGGGGGCGAGGCGGGGGGCGGCGGGGGGGGGCUGGCUUCGCUGUGGGCGGGGGGCGCACGGGGGAGGAGAGCGGCGGAACGUGCCGAGGAGUGGGGGAGAACGCAGCGAAAGUGUGGCUAAUACCGCGUAAGCUCCGAGGAGGGAAGUCGGGGACCUAGAUACGGCCUUACGCUAUUUGAUCGGCCGAUGGCGGAUUAGCUAGGUGGUGGGGUAAUGGCUCACCAAGGCAAUGAUCCGUAGCGGGUCUGAGAGGACGAUCCGCCACACUGGGACUGAGACACGGACCAGACUCCUACGGGAGGCAGCAGUGGGGAAUUUUGGACAAUGGGGGAAACCCUGAUCCAGCCAUGCCGCGUGUAUGAAGAAGGCCUUAGGGUUGUAAAGUACUUUUGUUAGGGAAGAAAAGCUAGUUUUUAAUAAAAAUGAGUGAUGACGGUACCUAAAGAAUAAGCACCGGCUAACUACGUG